rnacentral:lncRNA from 1 species
CCUGCUGCAGACACAAGUGUGUGCCUGGGCUGCUUCUGUCUUGUGACUGAGGAAUUUUGAAAUGGCAGUGCUGAGCUCACAAAGAAGAAAAUGUCUCCUUGAUGUCACACAGUUCGCUGCCAAACCAUCCAAGGAGCUGGGAGUGCGGACAUACAUGUCAAGUGAGUGUUCCACUACCCAGCAAAAUCUCCAGCCCCCGGUAAUGUAUUUCUUGUUGUUGUUGGGUUGUUUUUUUUUUCCUUUUUUAUUUUCAUUUUUUCCUUUGAUAAAUUUCUUGGGUUUCAGCUACCUGGAAAUUAUCAAUGACUGCACGUGCCCAGCUCUUCUGGACCCUCUGAUGUUCUGUCACAUGGGAGCAAAUGGAGAGCUGGGACAUCCUUUGACCUCAGCCCUCAAAGGUUAGGAAGCGGGCCCCUCCUCCCUCCAAGAAUUCCUUUUCUCCAAGGGUGAUUAACUACCUCAGCCAUCCUUCCAGGAGGGCCAAAAAAGCUGUUUUGAAUCUGUACCGGCUCAGAAUAAUCAGUUCCUGGUAUUUCCGGCUUUGUGUGAAGCAGGAUUUCCUGUUUCAAGGCGGGCUGGCUCCCCUGUCCUGAUAUUAGGGAGUCUAUGUAAUAGAUUACUAAUCCAUACUGUUUUUGUUUUUCUAUUCAGGAUAAUUAACUUCUUGCUCAAUCCCUCAGCAUUUGACCAAAAUACCAAGAUAAAAAUGUAGGCCCGUGUUAGUACAAAAGGUCCUGCAUUCAACUGUCCUCCUUAUAUUGCCCAAGAAGUCUUGUGGAAUUCCAAGAAGAAUUCAAGGGGCCAGACCUGGAAUAUGCAUCAAUGAGAAUAAGACACUGACGAAGCUAACGACACUAACGGGGAAUGAGGAUAAUCGACUCCUGUCCUUUGUUUUACUCUUUAACCUAGUAAUAAAUCCCUUUAAAGG